AGUAUAGUAAGCUAACUAAGCUUUCGGGCCCAUACCCCGACAAUGUCCGUAAAAUCCCACCUAUACUA
rnacentral:tRNA from 1 species